AGAGUGGCGGACGGGUGAGUAACGCGUAGGUGAUCUACCUUAAAGUGGGGGGAGUAGCCCCGGGAAACCGGGAUUAAUACCGCAUGUGAUCUUCGGAUUAAAGACGGCCUCUGUUUCAAGCUGUCGCUUUGAGAUGAGCCUGCGUCCUAUUAGCUAGUUGGUAAGGUAAAAGCUUACCAAGGCGAUGAUAGGUAGGCGGCUUUGACGAGUGGUCGCCCACACUGGGAUUGAGAUACGGCCCAG
rnacentral:rRNA from 1 species